AUUGAACGCUGGCGGCAUGCCUAACACAUGCAAGUCGAACGGCAGCACGGGAGCUUGCUCCUGGUGGCGAGUGGCGAACGGGUGAGUAAUGCAUCGGAACGUGCCAUUGAGUGGGGGAGUAACGUAGCGAAAGUUGCGCUAAUACCGCAUAUUCUGUGAGCAGGAAAGACAGGGGACCGGCAAGGCCUUGCGCUCUUUGAGCGGCCGAUGUCAGAUUAGCUAGUUGGUGAGGUAACGGCUUACCAAGGCGACGAUCUGUAGCGGGUCUGAGAGGAUGAUCCGCCACACUGGAACUGAGACACGGUCCAGACUCCUACGGGAGGCAGCAGUGGGGAA
rnacentral:rRNA from 1 species